GACGGAGGGUGCAAGCGUUGUUCGGAUUGACUGGGCGUAAAGCGUGCGUAGGCGGUGAAUCGGGUUGAAAGUGAAAGUCGCCAAAAAGUGGCGGAAUGCCCUCGAAACCAAUUCACUUGAGUGAGACAGAGGAGAGUGGAAUUUCGUGUGUAGGGGUGAAAUCCGUAGAUCUACGAAGGAACGCCAAAAGCGAAGGCAGCUCUCUGGGUCCCUACCGACGCUGGGGUGCGAAAGCAUGGGGAGCGAACAGG
rnacentral:rRNA from 1 species